ACAGUGGUGCUUCAGUGAUAGAAGUCUUGCCUUUCAUGCAGGAGACCCGGGUUUGACUCCUGCCCAGUGCA
rnacentral:tRNA from 1 species